rnacentral:ncRNA from 1 species
ACUCUUGCCUCUGGUAUUGAUGGGCAAAAUGGAGUAAAUGAAAACGUGGGGUGUGGGGAGUUUGACUGGGACAGUACACCUGUCAAGCCAUAAUGCAGGUGUACUAAGGUGAGCUCAGAAACCUCCUGUGGAGCAGAAGGGCAAAAGCUCGCUUGAUCUUGAUUUUCAGUAUGAAUAGAGACCGUGAAAGUGGGGAAACCAGUGCUCUUUCCUGCCCAGGGCAGGGGGUCAGA